rnacentral:lncRNA from 1 species
AUGGGCAGAAUUUUCCUUGAUCAUAUCGGUGGUACCUGUCUGUGUUCCUGUGCAAACUGACAUGAUCCUGACCAACCGCCCAGAACUCAUCUCCACUCAGUUCACAGGCGCCCUGGCCUUUUAACAAGGUCGUUAACCUGCUGUGCAGUGAACUUUAAGAUCUGGUCAUGCUCACUGGCAGCCACAGGGUUCAAGAUGUGAGCUGCAAAAGUUGCAAUAGCAAACCGGGGUGGAUUUAUGAAUUUGCCACUGGAGAUAGCCAUGUUAUAAGGAAGGCUGUGUGAUCCUGGAAAGUGCUGAAGUUCAAGAGAGUGAAGGCUCUGAGGAGCAUGUAUCAUCUGAUAAUUCUUGA